CGGGGAAUUUUGGACAAUGGGCGAAAGCCUGAUCCAGCAAUGCCGCGUGUGUGAAGAAGGCCUUCGGGUUGUAAAGCACUUUUGUCCGGAAAGAAAUCCUUGGCUCUAAUACAGUCGGGGGAUGACGGUACCGGAAGAAUAAGCACCGGCUAACUACGUGCCAGCAGCCGCGGUAAUACGUAGGGUGCAAGCGUUAAUCGGAAUUACUGGGCGUAAAGCGUGCGCAGGCGGUUUGCUAAGACCGAUGUGAAAUCCCCGGGCUCAACCUGGGAACUGCAUUGGUGACUGGCAGGCUAGAGUAUGGCAGAGGGGGGUAGAAUUCCACGUGUAGCAGUGAAAUGCGUAGAGAUGUGGAGGAAUACCGAUGGCGAAGGCAGCCCCCUGGGCCAAUACUGACGCUCAUGCACGAAAGCGUGGGGAGCAAAACAGGAUUAGAUACCCUGGUAGUCCACGCCCUAAACGAUGUCAACUAGUUGUUGGGGAUUCAUUUCCUUAGUAACGUAGCUAACGCGUGAAGUUGGCCGCCUGGGGAGUACGGUCGCAAGAUUAAAACUCAAAGGAAUUGACGGGGUC
rnacentral:rRNA from 1 species